CCCAGCCAGGGACUGACCUCUGCAAGGAGCUGCCAGCAAAUGGAACAGCAGCUCAGCCAGCAUGGCCCAGUGGAUACAGCUCAGGGUUCCUCUAAGCUCCCAGAGUUUCUCUCACCCAUUGAAUCAUCAGGUGAAAUGGACUCUAAUAUUUACUCCCCAUCCGGCAUUAAGCAACUUUUCCUUCCUUCAGUAGUUUUAUUCUGUGCCUAUGGAGCAUGGAGGCACCUUCCUGGGAGAGAGGAACCGAGCUCAUUCCAUGUGAAGGAGUCACUAUUCCUACUUGCCUCAGCCUCAGAAGCCAAGAUGGUUCACAUGAAUGGCAGAUUGCUGCAAAUUAAUUAACAAAAUGAGCAUGAAGAGAAUCAUUAACUUCCAACAUUCCACAGAGGAGGAGCUUUUACUUGGUAAGAUGGACAGAGCUGUCCAUCCCUGCCUUCAAACCACUCUUCAGUCCCACCAAGUGUGUGAGCAGAAGAAAACUGACAAUCUGAAGUAAGCCAGUCACAUCCAGACUGCACGCAGUCAAACAAUGUGAAACUCAGCAGCUCCUGCCCAUCACCACUGCAGAGGAAAUACCAACUACAGCAGAACAAUCUUGGAUCCUAUCCCUGAGUGUCCAAGAAUGUGAUAUGUUUCCUCCAGAGCAUGACUGCAAGAAAGUCAAAUAAAUAACCAUUGUGACUCGGGAAGAAUUCACAUAAAAUGCCCAUAGGGGAAGAAACACCUACUUGGCAGUCUGUGGCUGUUUCUCAAAAGGGUCAUUUCAUCCUAAUCCUUCAGUCUGGACCCUCAGGGGAAACCUCCUGAGGAUGAGCCUAUGAUAGCUAUAGACUCAUUUAUAACUCUGCACAAUCCCAGAAAUAAGAGGCUUUUCAGAGAUAGAUUUUUGACCUUUUAUAAGCUCUCUUGUCCACUGCUAACCUCUCCAUGCUGUACAGGCUAGAGAGUACAAGUCUCUCUAUUUUUUUGCCCCAGGAGGGAGCAAGCCUGAAAUUUCUCCAUAUCUCAUGCACCCUCCUCUCUCCUGCAGUGAGGAGCCCCAUUCUUCACAGGGACCCAUCACCUGCACUAUUAAGCACUAUAACUAACCCAAAUAAUCAAAUUGGUACAUA